rnacentral:snoRNA from 3 species
AAGCAACACUCUGUGGCAGAUGAUUGAAAAUGUCUGACACAAUUUGAGCUUGCUAUAGCAAGAAAGUCUAACCUAUUCCGGUGUUCUCUUCUCCGUGAGACGAGCCGUUAUAUAGACUCAAACAGU